rnacentral:rRNA from 1 species
UGGGGAAUCUUCCGCAAUGGACGAAAGUCUGACGGAGCAACGCCGCGUGUAUGAUGAAGGUCUUCGGAUUGUAAAGUACUGUCAUUGGGGAAGAACGGUUUUCUUGAAAGAUUGAGAAGACAUGACGGUACCCAAGGAGGAAGCCCCGGCUAACUACGUGCCAGCAGCCGCGGUAAUACGUAGGGGGCAAGCGUUGUCCGGAAUUAUUGGGCGUAAGGGCGCGUAGGCGGGCCUUUAAGUCCGGUGUGAAAGAUCAGGGCUCAACCCUGAGAGUGCAUCGGAAACUGGAGGCCUUGAGGACAGGAGAGGAAAGUGGAAUUCCACGUGUAGCGGUGAAAUGCGUAGAUAUGUGGAGGAACACCAGUGGCGAAGGCGACUUUCUGGACUGUAACUGACGCUGAGGCGCGAAAGCGUGGGGAGCAAACAGGAUUAGAUACCCUGGUAGUCCACGCCGUAAACGAUGAGUGCUAGGUGUAGAGGGUAUCGACCCCUUCUGUGCCGCAGUUAACACAAUAAGCACUCCGCCUGGGGAGUACGGCCGCAAGGUUGAAACUUAAAUGAAUUGACGGGGUCAUAGCUGUUUCCU